rnacentral:lncRNA from 1 species
GUGAGAAAAGCACUCUUUCUAAAGCACUGAGGCCCCACCCUGGACUUGGAGACUAGUCACCAGAGCCCAGAGAAUGAACACAGUGUUGGUUUUUCAAAUUAGAUUCCCCUGACUUUGAAGCUUCAUAGUCACAGCAACAUGACUUGGGGCUGAUGUCUUACCCUUUCUGAGCAUCCGUUUCCACAUUUGCAAAGUGGGGAGAAGAUAACUGAUCUCAGAGUCCUUGUCCCUGGUAUAUAGAAGGUCUCCUACUAACCCUGGACCCACUAGCAGACCCGCUGACCCUCACGGUAGGUUCUGGAGUUGGGCUGCUCCUGUGCACAGUGACGACAGGGGCAGCCUCUGCGCUGAUGCCGUGAUUAAUGCACAGCACGGGAGGGCAUCCCGACGACCGUAUUAUGCGAUGAUGGGAUGAUGUGCAGGUGGGUAGCAAGCGCCGCGAGACCAAGUGCCAUGCACUUAGUCACCAUGGCAACAAUAACGAUUACAAAGCUGGUAGAGUAAUCCGGCUGCUUCUUACCACCCAGGGAGCCUGCAGAGAGAAAAAGAGAAAUUAACGCUGUGA